rnacentral:rRNA from 1 species
UACGUAGGGUUCAAGCGUUGUCCGGAGUUAUUGGGUUUAAAGGGUGCGUAGGUGGCUUUUUCAGUCAUGGGUGAAAGCCCGCAGCUCAACUGUGGAAUUGCCUGUGAUACUGAGGAGCUUGAGUGCGGUUGAGGCAGCUGGAAUUGGUGGUGUAGCGGUGAAAUGCAUAGAUACCACCAGGAACACCGAUUGCGAAGGCAGGUUGCUAAGCCGUAACUGACACUGAGGCACGAAAGCGUGGGGAGCAAACAGG